rnacentral:rRNA from 1 species
GUGGGCAAUCUGCCCUGUGGAAAGGGAUAGCCUCGGGAAACCGGGAUUAAUACCUUAUAAAAUCAGCACUUCACAUGAAGCGCUAAUCAAAGAUUUAUCGCCGCAGGAUGAGCCCGCGUCCCAUUAGCUAGUUGGUGAGAUAACAGCUUACCAAGGCGACGAUGGGUAGCCGACCUGAGAGGGUGACCGGCCACACUGGGACUGAGACACGGCCCAGACUCCUACGGGAGGCAGCAGUGGGGAAUAUUGCGCAAUGGGGGAAACCCUGACGCAGCAACGCCGCGUGAGUGAAGAAGGUUUUCGGAUCGUAAAACUCUGUCUUUGGGGAAGAAAAAUGACGGUACCCAAGGAGGAAGCCCCGGCUAACUACGUGCCAGCAGCCGCGGUAAUACGUAGGGGGCAAGCGUUGUCCGGAAUCAUUGGGCGUAAAGGGCGUGUAGGCGGUAUGAUAAGUCAGGUGUGAAAAUUUGAGGCUUAACCUCAAACUUGCACUUGAAACU